CAAGCGUGCGGGAGAUAUAAACUCAAUGUUUUAAAUGGAAAAAUUACCCUUUUUAUUCCUCUUCAUUUAUUUCCAUUUUUUCUCUCUCGUUGUCGUCUGUGUUAGAAGAGAGAUUCGGAUGUGAGAAUUGUAAGUGUUUAUAAGAGGCGGUCGCAUUGACAUAGCUUGGAUUAACAUGAGAAAUUUGGAUAUGACAAUGAACUUCAGAGGUAUAUGACAAGGUGGGAGAAAUUCAGUUGUUGAUGGGGAAAAACGAUUCGCUGGAUUUUUAGGGAAUGGAGAGACGACCGUGCGACGGAGGCUCCUUCAACCGAGCGAAUUGCUUAAACUCAAACAAAUGCACUGCACGGGAAUGCUUUGAGUUCGAGAGAUCAAUCAGUAGGACUCCGACCUAAACCAAGUAAGUCAAUGGCCGUCCCGGAGUCAAUUCGGUCACAAAGAGGGAAGAGGGUUGAUCUAUAGGAGGGAAGCUAAGAAGUGUGUGAGAUCAAUGAUGAUCAAGGAUUGUGUAUGUGUUGUGGGUUUCUGCAAGUUUUCUGUGAACUGUUGAGUUCAAAUAAGUUCUGUUUGAUUGAUGAAUUCUUGAGAGUGAUUACUCGAAAAAUUGUCCUGUUUCAAUCAUGGAUUCAGAGACUUAUUUAUAUUGCCAGAAUAGU